GUCUCUUUCUCUCUUCUCUACUCUUCUCAGUGUGUGUUUGUGGGUCGAGCUAGCUACCAGUCAAUCACUUAGAGAUAGGUAGGACGUACAGCCAGAGGAAACAGACAUACAACUCCUAACAGAGAUGUCUGGUGGUCCCCUCUCCUCCUUCUCCAAACAGGGAAUACUCCUACUCUCUAUCCUCCACUAUGGGACCUGGGCUGAUGUCCCUCCGAUAGACCAGUAUGGCUUGAAGGGAGGUUCGGUAUGUGUGGCUGUUGCAGAACCCCCUGAUCAACUUAAAGGAAUUACAUGGAAGUUCCGAAAGGAUGUAAUAGUUGAUGAUAAAGAGAUCUCUCCUAAAUACAAGGAGAAGAUGGAUUAUAACCCAGUGAACCACACUCUGUGCAUUAAGAAUCUGACAGACACAGACAGUGGAAUUUACAGGCUGGAUGUUUUCUGUCUGUGAUGGAGGUCAGUGCCCACUGUACCAGGAUUCUCUGUCAGUCUCUGAGGUCAACAUCACUGUUUCCAGUGGUAAUGGAUUCAUCCAGUGUAUCGUCAACAAUCAUGUCAGCACAGAGACCAAAUCACAACGCAUGAAUGACAUAUGUAUUGCUGAGAAGAAGGGGAUCGCUGCAGCAUCACUAGUUGGCAUCAUUGUGGGCAUUGUUACUGGUGGAUUAUUCUUAGUUGGUGUAGGAUGCAUCAUAUCAACCAGAAGAUGGCGAUCCCCUAAAGAAAUACUGCUUCUGAAGGCCGUUGUUCCAGAAGUUGACAACCCAGUGAGCGCUAUACCAGGAAGACCAGAACCACAGAACACCCCUGGAUCUGAGGUGACAUCUAUCUACAUUACUGCUGGGAGACCAGGAGAAGUACCAGCAUCAGCAGAAGGAGAAGAGGGGCAUCCAGGGGACAAGGAGUACACUUCACCAGAAGAGAGGAUAGAACCACAGGCAGAGACAUUCUACAGCACCCUACAGCUACCAGCUGCAGCACAGCGCCACCCAGUGGGCGAAGGAAAUAAUGUAAAGAGCCAGACACGGUGUACUGCACAAUAGGAUAUUACCCCUCCAUCCUUCUGAGACCCACUGAUAUUACUUUGAUAAAGAUUUAACCCAUAGACUCAGGUACAGAAUGCAAACACAGGGGAAAUUAUGAAGGAGAGAAUCAUGAUAAUGGGUUUUUAACAUUUCCGUCUAAUUUCAUCCAUAUUUAAAGUGGCAAUCUGCAAUUCCUACGUACUUUUAAUUGAAUUGUAUAUAACUAUUAAUCCAUGCAGAAUACAACAUAUGCUUGUUUAAUUCCAUUGUUUGUUAAAACUGUAUUUGUAAAUCAAUUGGUGGCAGGGUACCCGCGUUGUUAUUAUUUAGACUACAGAUUUCCCCUUUAGCGAUAGAAAGUAUGUAAAACAGUCUUAUUUUCUGUAAACGAAAAUGGAAACAUGCAGAUGAAUACAGUAGCGCUAUACAUGCUUUAAAAAGUGUUUAUACACAAAGCAUCGGUUUGAAAAUGGGAAGCCCAUCCUUUCAAUCAAUCAAUCAAAUCGACCAAUCAAUAAAUACAUGUAUAUACAUAAACCAAUCAUUAAAUGAAUAAAUAAAUCAAGCAACAA